AAUCAGAGAGCCACAACGUACCUCUCAGUUUUGAAACAAAUUCUUUAACCUAGGGCCCUUUUAUUGUCCGGAAAUUUUAGACUAUACCAUAAAACCCAUGUCGACUGUGUGUUCUCCAAACACACUGGGCGGUAAGCCUUUAAUAAGCAGAUCUGCAAAAACUUGUUUGUUGCUUUUAUGCUCCAAGCAUUUCAACAUAAUUCCAGACUUUUCUCCUUAACAACGUACAACUUUGUGUCAAUGUGUUUGGCACCACACUUGACUCGUUGUCAUAGGAGUGAAAUACUUAAAUGGUUAUCGCUGCUGUCAACCAUUAUCAACUCCGGGUACAGGUUUCCAUAACGAUUUUGCCUGUCCCUCAGCCUCAUAUCAUGCUAUACUUUAUAUUUGCAUCACAUUGAUGAUAAAUGAUUCAUUCUAUAGAGUUCUUCCACACAAAAACUCCUAAUGUGAAGGUCAACGACAAUUGUGGAUUUCGCUGUACAUUUCACAAGUUUUUAUCUUUGUACUCACAACCUUUUGAGAGCACUUGUUUCUUUCAGCAUGAGGCCGAUAUCUUUGACUCCAUUCCAUCAAUUUAAAUAUGUACUGGACAUUGCCAAAACAACCCGGAUAUGUGAACUAUGUCACGGUAAUGUUACACUUUUGCAUUCAUAAAGCUUCCAACAGCUGAAGCAUAUGGUACCAUAUUCAUUUGGUCUAUUUCACAUUGACUCUUGGAACACUAAAGUUCCCAAAAUCAUUACCCUUUACUAUAAGAACAGGCGUAGGUUUUCUCACAUGCAUACUUUAGAGACUUUUCAAAGUAUGCUCAUGCGACACUCCUAAUACCCCCUUUUUUUCUUGGUGAAUCUCAAUAAUUAUAACGAGAGUCAC